AUUUUGAGAAGAAAUCGAAUGAAUGAGGCUAGGUACAACUUAAUCUAAGUGUAUUGAUCAUAAGCAUUAGGGAUCAUGUGGACGUGGACUCAAGCACGAAAGACUAACGGGUCAAGAGGGGACAAGGAAGCCAAUGCGAAAAUGGACGCUCAAGGUUGUGCGGGUCACGGAGGAUCAUCAAGGAAUAAAGAUCGAAGACCGAGUCACUUAAG